rnacentral:rRNA from 1 species
UGUCCCAGCCGCCGCGGUAAUACGUAGGGUGCAAGCGUUAAUCGGAAUUACUGGGCGUAAAGCGUGCGCAGGCGGUUGUGUAAGUUAGAUGUGAAAGCCCCGGGCUCAACCUGGGAAUUGCAUUUAAAACUGUCCAACUAGAGUCUUGUAGAGGGGGGUAGAAUUCCAGGUGUAGCGGUGAAAUGCGUAGAGAUUUGGAGGAAUACCAGGUGGCGAAGGCGGCCCCCUGGCACAACACUGACGCUCAGGUGCGAAAGCGUGGGGAGCAAACAGGAUUAGAUACCCUGGUAGUCCACGCCGUAAACGAUGUCUACUAGCUGUUCGUGACCUUGUG